AGAAAAGAAGAAGAGACAUGCCUCCACCUUCCGCUGGUAUCUGCGGUUGUAUAUCUAAUAUUCUAUCUUCUUGUUUCUAUUGUCUCUGUUGCUGCUGUCUCUUGGAGACUUGUUGUGGCCCAAUCUUUGGUAGACCACCUCCUCCUCCUCCUGGGCCUUGGGGCUCGGGCCCGGGCCCAGGCCCUGGUUUCUGAUGGAGACUCUGUGUGAUGGUUGUUCUCUGGGAUUGAAUUAUGAAGGCACUACUUGAGUGAAUUUUAAUCAUAAUAAGCUCCGUGAGAUGAUAUGUGAAAUAAAAUCAGAAAAAUAAUGAUAUUCUUAUACUGUUUCUCAUC